rnacentral:rRNA from 1 species
UACGAAGGGGGCUAGCGUUGUUCGGAAUCACUGGGCGUAAAGGGUGCGCAGGCGGGUUCAUAAGUCAGGGGUGAAAUCCCGGGGCUCAACCUCGGAACGGCCUUUGAUACUGUGGAGCUUGAGUCCGGAAGAGGUGGGUGGAACUCCGAGUGUAGAGGUGAAAUUCGUAGAUAUUCGGAAGAACACCGGUGGCGAAGGCGGCCCGCUGGUCCGGAACUGACGCUGAGGCACGAAAGCGUGGGGAGCGAACAGG